rnacentral:lncRNA from 1 species
GUACUUGGUUCAAAGUUCAUUUUCUUCACUAACAAGGUUUCAAUCAUGUCAAACACAGGCAUUGCAUAAAUCUACAUCACAAAAAACAAUGAAAUUAAGUUAUUUUAGUUGAAUUUACCAAAAUAAUAAUGCAAGAACACACAACAUAUAUUUGUGUAUUUUGUAACAUAAUGUGUGGUAAGGAUAACAAUAUACACAUAAUACAAUUUAAAGGACCUAUGUGGGACCAAAAACGCUCAGAUGACUAAUUUGAUACAGUUAAAUAAAGUCUAUUUUACCUAGUUAUUAAUAGGAUAAGUUUUCUAAAAGCUAUGAAGCACGAACACUCCUUAGAUUAGGCGUGUUUCGUUGUCGGACAUAUGUUGUGUCCGACACCGACACUUGUAAUUACACUGAAUUAUGUAAUUUUUUCAAAUUAUUAGCUGUGUCGGCGUGUCAGUAUCCAUGUCGUGUCCAGUGUCCGUGUCCAUAUCCGUGCUUUAUAGUAUAAAAGUCUAUAAAAUAAGAGAAACAAAAUUUUACCUGAUAGCUUCCAAUCACAUGAAUAACAACAAACAUGUUAGCUGUUGCAAUAAGCCAUGCAGGUUUCUGUAAAGAUAUGAGGAUGUCACCAUCAACCUCAUUUCCAAAUAUCCAGUAACCAAUAAGAGCAACAGGGAAGUAACACAAAGCAACAACAAUGUAUGCAACAACAACUCCUCUCCACAUUGGAACCUUGGAUGGUUUCUCCGGUG